rnacentral:tRNA from 1 species
UUUAGAAUGCCUGAAUAAAAGGUCUAUUAUGAUAUAAUAGUUUAUGUAACUGUGAAAGUUACUUCUAGAG